rnacentral:rRNA from 1 species
AUGAAGGAGAGGAGAUGGCCUGGGGAUCCCAAAUGCUCCUUUUGUGAUGAUAUUGAAUCAUCUCGACAUUUGUUCUUCAUGUGUCCUGUGGCUAGAGUGGUUUGGCGUUGUGUUGGGAUGGCUCUAGGGACUGAGUUAUGUCCGAGCAGUUACUAGCAAUGUUUCUCCUGGUGUCACACUUUCCUUCCUUCUGGGAAGAAGUAUUAUACUGUUGGCCUCGCGGCCGUUUGCCGGGCUAUCUGGCUUGCUCGAAAUCGAGCCACUUUUGAGAAAAAACAAAUUAAGACACCGUUUGAGAUUGUGUUUUCCAUGUGAUCCUUUUUGUUGUAUUGGGCAGGUCUACAGCAAGGAGGUGUCAAGGAGCUAUGCAGCAGGGCGGCGAUGGUCAGAUCGAGCACUAUGAGCAUGAUGAAGAUGUGCGAGAGGGUGAGGAGACCGAUCGAGGGGGAGUGA